GAUGAAGAACGUAGCGAAAUGCGAUACUUGGUGUGAAUUGCAGAAUCCCGUGAACCAUCGAGUCUUUGAACGCAAGUUGCGCCCGAAGCCAUUAGGCCGAGGGCACGCCUGCCUGGGCGUCACACGUCGUUGCCCCCCCAUCUACUCCUUCGGGAUUGCGGGGGGCGGAUGAUGGCCUCUCGUGCGCCUCGUCGCGCGGUUGGCCUAAAUGCCAAGUCCUCGGCGACGCACGCCACGACAAUCGGUGGUUGCGAAACCUCGGUUGCCCGUCGUGUGCGUUCGUCGCGCAUCGAGGGCUCGAAAAAAUGCUCGGCUCCGGCUGGGCUUUCAACGCGACCCCAGGUCAGGCGGGGUUACCCGCUGAAUUUAAGCAUAUCAAUAAGCGGAGGA
rnacentral:misc_RNA from 1 species